UACGAAGGGGGCUAGCGUUGUUCGGAAUUACUGGGCGUAAAGGGCGCGUAGGCGGUGUGUCAAGUCAGGCGUGAAAACCUGCAGCUUAACUGUGGGCUUGCGGUCGAUACGGGCAUCACUGGAGUUCGGCAGGGGAGACUGGAAUUCCUGGUGUAGCGGUGAAAUGCGCAGAUAUCAGGAGGAACACCGGUGGGCGAAGGCGGGUCUCCUGGG
rnacentral:rRNA from 1 species